UACGUAGGGGGCAAGCGUUGUCCGGAUUUAUUGGGCGUAAAGAGCGUGUAGGCGGCUUUGCAAGUCCGUUGUGAAAACUCGAGGCUCAACCUCGAGACGCCGGUGGAAACUGCAAAGCUAGAGUCCGGAAGAGGAGAGUGGAAUUCCUGGUGUAGCGGUGAAAUGCGCAGAUAUCAGGAAGAACACCAGUAGCGAAGGCGGCACUCUGGGCCGGUACUGACGCUGAGGAGCGAAAGCGUGGGGAGCAAACAGG
rnacentral:rRNA from 1 species